UACAGAGGUCUCAAGCGUUGUUCGGAUUCAUUGGGCGUAAAGGGUGCGUAGGCGGCAGGGUAAGUUAGAUGUGAAAUCCCAAGGCUCAACCCUGGAAUUGCAUUUGAUACUGCCUUGCUCGAGCACUAGAGAGGGGACUGGAAUUUACGGUGUAGCAGUGAAAUGCGUAGAUAUCGUAAGGAAGACCAGUGGCGAAAGCGAGUCCCUGGAUAGUUGCUGACGCUGAGGCACGAAAGCCAGGGGAGCAAACGGG
rnacentral:rRNA from 1 species